AUGAACCAUAAAUUGUAAGUUUCUUCAUAUCUAGCAAUCCUUUAAAAUGCUGAAUAUCUUUAGUAGUAGAGAGUGCAUAAAUACCACCCGAAUAGAGCUAAUUCCGCUCCUGGUGGCACUUUGAAGCCCGACCGAGCUUACACUCGCGGCAACAAAUGAAGCUAACAACUCGGACGGCGUCUGGCAGUCGUCGAUGUCGCCUGGUCGUCGUAUUCCUCGAUCUCCGCCACUGGCCUGUCUGGAUCUGUGCUCUGCUCCUCGGCGGCAAUGCGAUUGGCUUUGGCUUUGGCUGUGGCUGUAGCUCUGGGCCUUGGCAGUGCCUGUUGGCCAUGGCUGUGGGGCAACAACAAUUGCGAAUAGCAACCGCCGCAACAGCGGAGACAGGAACAAAACAACAACAUUCAUGGCUGCGACUUUGGAGCUCUGGACUGAGGAGCUUACAACGACAAUUAUAAAAUGAUGACAAUAACAACAACA